rnacentral:tRNA from 1 species
GCUGGUGUAGCUUAACUCAAAGCAUAACACUGAAGAUGUUAAGAUGAGCCCUGAAAAGCUCCGCCGGCA